rnacentral:rRNA from 1 species
UUAACACAUGCAAGUCGAGGGGCAGCAUGGUCUUAGCUUGCUAAGACUGAUGGCGACCGGCGCACGGGUGAGUAACACGUAUCCAACCUGCCGUCUACUCUUGGACAGCCUUCUGAAAGGAAGAUUAAUACAAGAUGGCAUCAUGAGUCCGCAUGUUCACAUGAUUAAAGGUAUUCCGGUAGACGAUGGGGAUGCGUUCCAUUAGAUAGUAGGCGGGGUAACGGCCCACCUAGUCUUCGAUGGAUAGGGGUUCUGAGAGGAAGGUCCCCCACAUUGGAACUGAGACACGGUCCAAACUCCUACGGGAGGCAGCAGUGAGGAAUAUUGGUCAAUGGGCGAGAGCCUGAACCAGCCAAGUAGCGUGAAGGAUGACUGCCCUAUGGGUUGUAAACUUCUUUUAUAAAGGAAUAAAGUCGGGUAUGUAUACCCGUUUGCAUGUACUUUAUGAAUAAGGAUCGGCUAACUCCGUGCCAGCAGCCGCGGUAAUACGGAGGAUCCGAGCGUUAUCCGGAUUUAUUGGGUUUAAAGGGAGCGUAGAUGGAUGUUUAAGUCAGUUGUGAAAGUUUGCGGCUCAACCGUAAAAUUGCAGUUGAUACUGGAUAUCUUGAGUGCAGUUGAGGCAGGCGGAAUUCGUGGUGUAGCGGUGAAAUGCUUAGAUAUCACGAAGAACUCCGAUUGCGAAGGCAGCCUGCUAAGCUGCAACUGACAUUG